AUGAGCUUUAACCUCAAAAGUUCAUGUAGCUUAUCUUUUAAAGCAAGGCACUGAAAAUGCCUAGAUGAGUAUUCUUACUCUAUAAACACAAA
rnacentral:miRNA from 1 species